CAUGCCUCACGAAAGAGGGGCAGGGUCUUGACAGGAGGCUGCUGUCUCGUAACUAUUUACGUGGCUCCGCCCCCUUGCCCGUCCGAAGUCCCGCCCCCUUGCCCGUCCGAAGCCCCGCCCCUUGCAACACAAAGCGGUCACGAGUGGACACAGGCUGACCAGUUUGGGGUGGGGGUGAAUGGGCAGCCGGAGGAAUCAUGUUUUCAAUAGCUUACAAUGAAGCAGAGAAUUCAUGUUUACUAUUGUUGUGGGAAUACGUCACCGGAAGUGACGUUACGCUCCUCCUGAAGUACGAUGUUCCGGGGUGCCCUUAAGAGAAAGUACGGGGCGUUAUCUCCACAAGGGAGAGACAUAAGAGGGAAUACUUUUGGCAGCUGUCAGUGUUGCUAUUGGAAAUUACAACCACCGCCGGCCAGAGCUCGGACCUCCUGAAACCGGAAUUACUAGAGAUGACCAGUGUACGGCCGUUGCUGUGGUUCCCCAUACACAAAUCGGACAUAUCAGGAAGUGCUAAAGAGAUGACAGGCACGGAGACGCCGCUUCGUCUCAGCUUCUGGGUGACACUGUUCACUUCUGAGCUGACUGCUCCUGCUGCACCUACCCCUCUAUGAGCUCCCUAAGCACCCACUUUCUUUUAUGGCAAUGGGACAACUCUAGAUUCUCUAUUGGAACCGAACCCGGGAUAGGAGUUUGGUGGGCGCCUUGCUGUGUUGUGGACGGCCAGAGUGAUUGCACCUAUCCAAACCCCUACCAUUAUCACAUGUCUUCUGGUAGAAUUUACACUCAGCCCCUUUACUUUGAGGAUAGCCUACAGGAAUUGCCGGCCAUAUCAGAUGCUUACUACCGGAGGCUAGGAGAGCGACUCAAAGUAACCAGUGACUGCAGCAAUUUGGAAAUUGGGGUGUGCGGAGGACUGCUGGACAGCUGCGGAGCCUGUUUGCUGACCUCCUAGCUUCACUGGAUGCUAUCUACUGUCCCUGGGUGAACAAAACCAUUAUACAGGACCAGGACUGAUCUACAGCUGCGGCAUCCCAGAGGUGGGAAUUGACGGAGGACAAAGCCACCUACUGCAAGACUGUGACUGAAGGUGAUGAGAUUGCCUGGAACGGGAGUAGAUCCCAGACUUUGAACUAUCAUCUCCCAUUAUUGGUGGCACCCCUAAAGGACUUGUGAGAAUCUUAUACCAUUAAACGGUUAUCUUUCUUUGUCUGUUUUCCCCCAUUAACAAUUUAUUUUUCCUCCCUCCCUAUUGUCUCUCUCCAAUACCCAUCCCUCCUGUCCCUCCUUAUACGUGAUUUUCCCUUUCCCUUCCUUGGCUUACUAUAGAGCUCAUACAUUUCUGGAAAAAGUAUUUUAAGACUCAGGAUAGGAGCUCAUUUAUAAAAGGGUAUACUGAACAUAUUGUCUGCUGCUUUCAACUUAUCUGUUGAAGAUCUAAUAAUACUUUAUUCAACUGUACAUCCUAUAUAUGUCAUUUCCCAAUAACUAACCACCACAUCUCUGUUAGAUAGAAAGCUAGAUGGUAUCUGGAUGUCUUUACAAAUCGCAUUGUCACGCCUUGAUUCUUUUACCUCUCCAGUUGCUUGCUCUCAAUACACCCUCACUGAUUGCACUAGCGUACCAAUUACAAUGUUGACUACAACUCAAAAUCCUUCUCAGGUCAUUGCUUCUCUGCCCCCCUUCCCCGUUUUGGCUAACUCGACUACCCCUGAUAUUGGUCUCAAAGUUACCUCUUUUGACCUACCUGAGAAGUAUAGGGAAUUUAAUUUGUCCGACCCCAAAUCAUCUUAUUUUGACCAUAUGCCUGUGCUUAUUGAUGUACCUUUGACCACCUUGAUUACACCUGGUCUUUGUCGUAAAGUUACACUUAUUGACCUAACCAAGACGAUUGGGGAAUCUCAUUUGCCAACACUGACCAAUGAAGACCAAUCUUUUCUAAUCUCUCAUUCUGGUAAUUUGCCCAUACUUUUUAAUAUACAGAAACCCCUAGGGCCAGUUAUGUGUCAGACAAGACCUGUGCUUACUGAUGUAAAAAGCCCCAUGGAAUUCAUUAUGUGGAAGUCAAGCCCCCCUAUUGGCUCAAAUUGUCAUGCGCUCCCUAGACAGGGGGAGGGUUGAUGCAUAAAUCGGCUUGCUUACUUAUCUAUAUCCGACUUCUACCAACAACUGAAGCCUUUCUCUUUAAUGAUUCAACCUAUAAAUAUUUCUCUUGCUUCAUACAUAACUAUUACAUACCACAUGAUACUUAUUAUUAAGUUCAGAUAUGUGUAGCUUUGUGUUAUCUGGUUACAUACAGUAUAUGGUGUUACGUGUAAAGUAUCAUUAUAACUAUUUACCUUUCUUUCUGCUUCUAUUACUGUCAAAUGUUGUAUUUGUAUCUUUGUAAUCUUUACAUACUUUCUCUCAGUAUCCUUAUUCCCCCCCCCCCCCCCCCCUCCUCUGCCCCUAUCAUUACUGAAAUCAUAGUGUUAGCCUUUCCUACUGGUUGGAAAGAGAGAAAAUGGAUGUAAAAAUCUUUGCUUUGAUACCAUACGAUAGACAUUUUCUCACCUCUCAACACUGUAUGUCACAAAAUACUUGUGUAGCCUUACUUAUAUGUUGGUGUUUUUUGUUUAUUGCACUCUAUGAAUAUGGCAUAUCUAUAAUACCUUGUACUAUCUUUUGAUUGACUUUAAAAAAACAUUAUUGAAAAAAAAAGAAAGGUAUUAUAUAUAUUUAUGGGGUGUAGUAUGGUAUGCCGGCGGCCGGGCUCCCGGCGACUAGCUACGCGCGCCACACUAUUGUAUUCUCCCUCCAGGGGGGUCGUGGACCCCCAUGAGGGAGAAAAAGUGUCGGUAUGCCGGCUGUCUGGAUUCCGGCGCCGGUAUACUGUGCGCCGGGAUCUCGACAGUCGGCAUACUGAACACCACCCUAUUUAUGUGCUAUAUUAAACUGUACUUCACUAUAUGCACAUUUUAUUUCUGUUCGAUGUCAUUUCUACGAGUAUAAAAACUCAGGAACUA